GCGGACAUGGCGAAACUGGUAGACGCAAGGGACUUAAAAUCCCUCGGUAGUAAUACUGUGCGGGUUCGAGUCCCGCUGUCCGCACCA
rnacentral:tRNA from 1 species